UGCUGUCUGACUGACUGUGCUUUUCCAACUCCACAUUUAUGGUGUCUAUCUGCUGCUCUUGGCCUCUGAAAUGGAAAUGGACCUGCUUGGAAGGACUCAGCCCUGAGGAACUCCUCCAGAGAUGUCAUGGACCUGAGAUGACUGACCCCCCCCCCAACAACCACAACCACAACCAUCUUCCUAUGUGCUAGCUCCAUUGGGCCUGGGAUUGGAGGCUGGAAAGUAUUAAUAAUGUGGUACUGCUUGACUACAUGCUAGAUCCCCAACUCCAUUCCACCACAAGUCGUUACUGCUGAGGUGAGAUGGAGAUGACUGCAGGGCUAAUCGCCUGUACGUGGUUGUGCCAAUCCAACUUGUUAAUGUGGCCACUUAAUACCAAUUAAAGGGAACUAACUGAGGAUAUCCAAGUGCAGAAAGGAAAGCCUCUAGUACUUGGAAAUGAGCGUGCUGGUUGUACUGGACAUCUAUUGGGAGGUCUUCAAGAUGGGUUGGACUAGCAUGCCAAUGUCUUCACCAGUUUUACUGGUUUUCCUUGCAGAUGCCUGCAGGUGGCCAUACUCCCUGAUUGCAGCAAAUGGGGGACAGUGUUGAAGGCAGACCUAGAGGCCCAUCAGUGUCUGUCUGGGUGCAAUUGUUAAUAUUUGAAUGGUUGGAGGGAGAGAUCACCUGCAUCCCCAAAGGAUUUCCCUCCAUUUCCACACCGCCUCCCCCACCCCCAGCUUCAGAAGCCAAUGAUCCUAGUGGGACAAGCACAAUUCCUGACUUUAUUGCUUUGUUUUUAAACUGCAGCUUCGUUACAAAUCCAAAUCUUCAGAGAUGCAAUAUGAAAAUUGCUGCUUAAAUGCACAGUCAUGACUGAAGCUGACUCUGGACUGAAGUGGAAGGAGAUUUUAAAGAAACAAUCUUGCCAUAAUAAGCACAAGAUAUGACCAGAUUUUUAACUCCAGCCCAGCUGGAAGGUGAAGCUGAGUGUGUCUCUCUCCCUCCCUCCUUACAUAGGUGCAGAAAUGCUGAUCACAGGAGCUUUUGUCGGAUAAAGGAAAAAGAAAUGUCUGUUGCGCUCAAAGCAACAAAAAUAUUGCAUCUAAUGGGAUUUGCAAGAGUGCUCGCUGUCCUUGAAUAUAUAAAUAUCAAGAUAUGAGGCCUCUCAAAAAUUCAAACAUGAUCACUCAUAAGAAAGAUUCUAUUCCUUCCAUAAACAUGAAACAUAACAUUUUUGCAAGCACUGUUAUGAACAUAUGGAUUAGGAGCAGGCCAUGUAAUAGUCCGUUUACCUGCGUGUACAAGCUCCAUCAAUCAGUAAGAUCAUGGCUGAUCAGAUUAUGAUUUCAACUCCACUUUCCGUCCUUGAUACCCUUGUUAAUAAGACAGUCUGACUAGAUAGAUUCUUUGGAGUCAUACUGCACGGAAACAGGUUCCUCAGUCCAACUCAUCCCCACAGAUCUGACAUUCCAAUCUGACCUAGUCCCAUUUGCCAGCAUUUGGCCCAUAUCCCUCUUACGCCCUUCCUACUCGUAUACCCAUCCAGAUACCUUUUUAAAUGUUGUAACUGUAUCUAACUUCACCACUUUCUCUGGCAGUUCAUUCCAUACACUCACCAUUCUCUGUGUGGGGGGAGGAGAAAAAUUACCCCUCCGGUCCUUUUUUUUUUAAAUCUUUCCCCUCUCACCUUAAACCUGUGCACUCUAGUUCUGUUCUCCCCCACCCUAGGGGAAAAGACAAUAGUUAUUCACCCUAUCCAUUUCAUCAUGAUUUUAUAAAACCCCAAUAAGGUCACCCCUCAGUCUCGAACACUCCGGUCGGGGAAUGUGGUAAGCUCCAGCCUAUUCAGCCCCUCCCUAUUUCUCAAAUUUUCCAGUCCCGGCAACAUCGUUGUAAAUCUCUUCUGCACCCUCAAGUUUAACAUCAUCCUUCCUACAGAAUUGUAUGCAGUAUUCUAAAAUACCAAUUGUCCUGUACAACCACAAUAUGACAUCCCAACUCCUAUACUCAGUGCUAUGACCAAUGAAGGUAGGCAUACCAAAUGCCUUCUUCACCACCCUGUCUAUCUGCAACUCCACUUUCAAGGAACUGUGCACCUGCAUUCCUAGGUCUCUUUGUUCAGCAACACACCCCAUGGCUCUACCAUUCAUUGUACAAGUCCUGCCCUGGUUUGUCUUACCAAAAUGUAGCACUUCACAUUAGUCUAAAUUAAACUCCAUCUGCCACUCUUCAGCCCAUCUGAUCAAGGCCCCAUUGUACUCUGCGAUAAUCUUCUUCACUGUCCACUACACCACCUUUUUGGUGUCAUCUGCUAACUUACUUCCUGUGCCUUAAAUGUUUAGUGAACCUGUCCCUCUUCCAUUUCUUGGGGACAGGUCUGGGGAUAAACUCAUGAUGCUCAGAAUUCCUUUUUUAACUGUGUUCUACCUUUCUAACAAAAGGAAAUAUCCUUUCAGCACCCAGCCUGUCAUGUUUCCUCAGGACCACCUCACACUAAGAGGACCUUUUUAACCUUUGAACAAGGAAUGUAUCAGCUUGUGGAAUGAUCCAAAUAGCUUUACUUUCAAAGUGACUGGUGAUGGUCUCAAUAGAUAUUGAAGACUGCUGCCUGAAAAGCACUCUAGGUAAAAUGUUCUUAUUUUGAUUCGGUGGUUUGUUAAGGGAAAUCUAUUCCGUCCACUGUGGCUCCAAGCACCUAUUUUUUUCAGAUAGUCAUCUGCUCUGUACUUCUUUCAUUAUACAGUAGGGCUGUUGGGCCUACCUUGGAUGAUGCUGCCAGAGAGGUGAUGUGCUUGGCAAUGCUGGCAUCUUGAGGCGUUCACACCACUAGUGCCAUGUUUGAAGACAGGCUCCAUACAACUUCAGAUGUUGCAAGCCAGGAAUGACUUCUCACAUUGUGGUGCUUGAGCCUCAACCUUCAGGACAUGGCCCAGAGGCAAGGAGAACUUACUUCCCACUUCAGGCAGGAAUGUAGAAAUCUUAGACAGGAUGGGGGGAGGAAGACUGUCCUUUUUCCAACUGACUACUACAGGAGUCCACACCAUCAGACACAUCCAGCCUGGGUCAGUGCUACACUCUGGUUGGAUCAAGGUGCCUAGCAGUGUAGAAAGAAAGUCAGCACUCUGCAUGGACGUGUGUUCAACUUUCUCUUUGUUACCGUGCACUUUCAGGACCAUCACUCACUCAUUGCACACAAUGCUCACCAAGGUUCAUGGACUUCAACAUUCUUUUUGCAUCAUGUCCACUCAAUGUCUCCUGUUUGCCUCAACCUCCCAAACAGUUAAACCUUUCUACCCCGUGUUUCAUACUCCCCCAUUGGAGACACUUCACUACCUCUGCCCUUUUGUCUCAUUACAGAAAACUGACCUGUGCUAUAAAUGCUAUCUCUGCAGUACUCUGAUAUAUCUUGACCAGCAGGACUGACCAUAAACCAACACCCUCACUAGAAAAACACAUGCCUGUAUUCUUGUGGGACUAAGUGCCUAGCUGACUGUGGUGGCACCUCCUGAUCAUAGUACUCCUUUACCUGACUAGGGACUGCCUCCUUUAGUUUUCACAGCAAAGUGUUUGCAGUAUAAGCUGCUGACAUUGCACAGUGCUACGCAGUAACAUAUUCAACCAUUAGCUAUUUUGUGAUCCCCACCUUGACAAGCUGCCUGUCUUUCCCUGUGCAAUGCUAGCCACAGAGUUAGUGCUGAGGUCAGUGAGUGUGCACUAAGAAUGUAAUAUGAAGUAAAUGCAGGCUGGCACAAUGUGAGAGAAUGCUAAGAGCCCCUAGAUACAUCCUGUGUAGGUGCAUGCGAUGCAUGUGUGUCCUGUGUGCUAGAUGACCUGAAAUGUUAACUGUGUGUCUCUCUUCUGUCCAUAGACGCUGCCAGACAGGCUGAGUUUCUCCAGCAUUUUCUACCCUUUAUUGUAAGUCAUUGAAGGCAGUGGGCAGAUAAGCACAUGGUCCUUUCAUUAUUCACUGUAAAACAGCAAUGUAUAUGUCCUCAACUGUCUGGGGAAAAGCAAAGCUCUUCAGUUCUAAGCAAUGUCACCCAGAGAACAAAAAUCUGAAGUCAAACUAUCCUCAUUAGUGAGCUUUUGACUUCUCGUGAUCAGUGUUUUGGAUUUGGAUCAUUUAGUAGACACCUGGACCUGGAUUUUUAGGCACUGCUGGGAGCAGAGGUGCAUCGGUGCUUAAGAGUGCCCCAGUGUAUUGGCUCCUUGACCCUACCUUUCCUCUGGGCCCUUUUGUUUUUAAUUAUUUGCAGAGAUGGAGUGGGAUUCAUCAGGGUUACCUGCCUAUACAUGGCAGAUGGCUGAUCUUGGUAAAUGCACAUUUUUUUUGCUUUCUUCUCAAAAUAAAGGAGCUUAAGUAUUUAACUCUGGACACAUCUCACCAAAUGUUUCAGUCUGUCUUCAUAUGAUCAGAGAAGCAUGCUUCCUGGAAUAUGUGAAGUGAUCAGUGUUAAGUCCAUAUACAAGAAAGCCUUAUUGUCAUGCCUUGUGGAUUAUGCUGCAUAUAGAAUGCUUAGUGCACUUAAAUGCAGCAGUGCUAGUCUCUGACUUCAGAGAAUGUUUAAAGCAAGUUUCAUUAUACUCAUGUAACCUUGUAACAGUAGGCCUCAAACUGGAAUGUGAUAAAUGCUCAUGUAUCUAUGUAUAGUUAGAGAAAAAAAAUCUGUACCUAAUUGUGGGUAUUGCACUGAUCAACUUGCUGAUAGUAAAGUAAAUUUGCCUCUGUA